AUAGGCUGAGUCCGUUGCAGUUACAGUCAGCCAAUGGGCUUUCAGCAAACACUUUCAGCUGUGACGUGCCAUUCGCUUCAAGCCGAAGUCCGGGAAAACUACUGACAACAGAAACAGCCUCACAGGAUCAAGCGCCGGAACGUCUGACUUCCUGUUUUCAAGAUGAAUCUCAUCAGUCUUCUGCCGUUUCUGAUGCUUUUCUCUUACCAAGUACAAGGUUCCUUUGAGAUGAUUCAAAGGGUUUUGCCAACUGGAGGGAAUUUAACUCUCGAUGUUCCAGAAGAUCUUCCCAAAGAUGCCAUCAUGUGUUUAUUGGUCUUUACCUCAAACUCAACCAAUUACACCAUAUGUUCAUUGGCCUAUUGUCAAAACCUAACAUACAUAAACAUAACAUACAAAGGAAGACUCGUCUAUUCUGAUAGAUCAAUGAUAAUGAUGGGUAUGCAGAAACCAGACAGUGGAGUUUAUACUUUAAAGAUGAUAGGAGAUAAAUUUAAACCUCUUCUUCAGAUCAA